AGUGGAGGCAGGACAUGCUUUCUUGGCAGGUUGUUCAUCUGCCAGCAUUCCUGUUUGCUAUGCGUUUCUGAGCUCCGGAUAUCAAUCACCAUCUUGAUAGGCGGAGACUGGAAGAGAGAACACAAAUGGUCUUCCAUUACAGUCAAGCUGGGUAUACUUGCUGUGAAUCUGCACCAAGGACAGCUGAGGGAACGUGAUGGGUGCCUGCCAUUAGCAGCUUACGGUGGAAUGCAGGAAGGAGUCAUCACAGGCAUACAAGUGUGCCAUACUAAUGAGAACAAGUCACGAAAAGGCCCUGUGCAGACAUCUUGGUGUAGAGGAAGGUGGCAGCUAUGUUAGCGGGAGCAGUGCAUAUGAAGGAUAGGUAUGAGCCAUUAUGGCUGUGCAAAGGCCCUGAGGCUAAAGUCAGUAAAGUCUAUCAGAGGGAUGCAAGAAAGUGUGAGGUAGCAGAGCAUGAAAAGCGAAGGGAAAGAGCUCAAGAAGUAGGCAGGAAGCUGGGACCUGCUGGGGAAAGCUCGCCAUGUCGCCAUGUCACCAUGUCAUCACAGAGAUGUGGGUCUUAUCCUGAGAAUACUGGAGAAUCAUGGGACACUUCGGGGAGGUGUGUGAAGGUGUGUGUGUGUGUGUGCACGUGCGCGUGUGUAUGUGCUUGCGUGUGUAAGAUGAUAGAUUGGAGAUCACUCAUUCAUUUACGUUUGCGUGUACUUGUA
rnacentral:lncRNA from 1 species